rnacentral:rRNA from 1 species
GACGAACGCUGGCGGCGUGCUUAACACAUGCAAGUGGAGCGACGAACCAGGGCUUGCCCUGGGGCAAAGCCGCGAACGGGUGAGUAACACGUGGGUAACCUACCCCGAUGACCGGGACAACCCGAGGAAACUCGGGCUAAUACCGGAUGUGUCCCACACUCAUGAGGGUGUGAUGCAAAGGUAGCUUCGGCCUCCGCAUCGGGAUGGGCCCGCGGCCCAUUAGCUUGUUGGUGGGGUAACGGCCUACCAAGGCUGCGAUGGGUAGCUGGUCUGAGAGGACGAUCAGCCACACUGGGACUGAGACACGGCCCAGACUCCUACGGGAGGCAGCAGUGGGGAAUCUUGCGCAAUGCGCGAAAGCGUGACGCAGCAACGCCGCGUGGGGGAAGAAGGCCUUCGGGUUGUAAACCCCUUUCAGUUGGGACGAAGCUUCGUCGGUGAAUAGCCGGCCGGAGUGACGGUACCUUCAGAAGAAGCCCCGGCUAACUACGUGCCAGCAGCCGCCGUAAAAC